AAGUCCUUUCUGCUCUCACCUGACUGUCGCACUGAGGAAGGACUUCCAGGGAAGGUAAGAGGCUGGAGCGAGGGAAGAAGGUCAGAGUGGAAGAGAAAGGCCCCAUAUAAGUGCAAACAGAUGAGAUCUGCGAUUACCAGCGCUCCCUCUGUGCCCCAGAGAGAGGCUGAGGAAGAAACCAGGAGGUGGAGGGAUCAGUAAAGGGCACAGAAUGGAACAGUGAUGGGCACAGUAGUGUCCCUGGGGUUGGCGUCACUCCACCACCGCAACCACGGAUCUCCUCCUGUCCCAGACCCUACAGAAUCCUUAGUACUACUAUCAACUAUAACCAUAGGACAAUGUGCAAAACGUAUGGUAUAAAUUGCUUAAAUGUAGCAUUUCUUAGAUGAUAGGAAUAUGGACAGGAGAAGAAUCGAUGCGUUUGAGUGUUGGUGUUGGCAAAGAACACCCGCGGUACCACGGACCCCAGGAGAGUGAGCACAGCAGUCUCGGAGGACGGUCAGCCGGAAUGCUGGUGAGACGUCAUCUCACGGACUUUGGACGUGCUAUCGAUCAGGAGGGACCAGUCCCUGGAGAAGGACGUCCUGCAUGGUAGAGGGGCAGCGAAAAAAGGAGACCCUCAACGAGAUGGAUUGUGAGGAUCGCUCAAGACUGAGUGGUUUCGCUGGGUCCGUCUGAGCGGGAGCCGACGAGGACGCAGGCAACCACAUUGCCUUGUAAAGCCUUUCUACCGUGAAUUACAAUGCUCUUACAGUUGCUGUCUUAAUAAUAACUGAGCAGAAACCUUUUUUGGUUUUCCCUCUUUUCUUUUACUUACUACUUUACUUUCAAAAUCAUUGACAGAGCUUCACAAAUAGUAAUCACCACAGUAUUGUGCCUAACACCAGAAAUGGCCAAAGCAGUGACUAUAAAACACCAGAAGGGCCGGCAGGUGAGACCACGUGAUUUGAAGCGGCAUUGUAGUUGGCGAUGCGACAACUCUGGCCAGAGGAUAUGAAAAGGUUCAACAAUCAGCACAGAGUCUCACCUAUGUAGGUGCAUUGACAGGUGUAAGCUGGGAUUACGAAAAGCUGUUUUCGUUGUUAUGACUGCUGGGGUAUUUUCAUUAAAAAAUAAAUGUCUGUUGAAACGCCGAA